CAGUAGCCGCGGUAAUACAGAGGAUGCAAGCGUUAUCUGGAAUGAUUGGGCGUAAAGCGACUGUAGGUGGCUUUUCAAGUCUGCAGUCGAAUCCCAAGGCUCAACCCUGGACAAGCGGUGGAAACUACCAAGAUGGAGUACGGUAGGGGCAGAGGGAAUUUCCGGUGGAGCGGUGAAAUGCGUUGAGAUCGGAAGGAACACCAACGGUGAAAGCACUCUGCUAGGCCGACACUGACACUGAGAGACGAAAGUUAGGGGAGAAAAUGGGAUUAGAUACCCGAGUAGUCCCUGUCUCUUAUAC
rnacentral:rRNA from 1 species